rnacentral:rRNA from 1 species
UAGGGAAUCUUCCACAAUGGACGCAAGUCUGAUGGAGCAACGCCGCGUGAGUGAAGAAGGUUUUCGGAUCGUAAAGCUCUGUUGUUGGUGAAGAAGGAUAGAGGCAGUAACUGGUCUUUAUUUGACGGUAAUCAACCAGAAAGUCACGGCUAACUACGUGCCAGCAGCCGCGGUAAUACGUAGGUGGCAAGCGUUGUCCGGAUUUAUUGGGCGUAAAGCGAGCGCAGGCGGAAUGAUAAGUCUGAUGUGAAAGCCCACGGCUCAACCGUGGAACUGCAUCGGAAACUGUCAUUCUUGAGUGCAGAAGAGGAGAGUGGAAUUCCAUGUGUAGCGGUGGAAUGCGUAGAUAUAUGGGAGCACACCCGUGGCGAAGGCGGCUCUCUGGUCUGCAACUGACGCUGAGGCUCGAAAGCAUGGGUAGCGAACAGG